rnacentral:lncRNA from 1 species
CCAGAAAUGUGUUCGUUUUUCGCGGACCGGAAGUUGCGGACUGUCCGCGGACUCUCGGAGCUGUCAGCAGACUUUUGAUCGGACCAGCGCAAGCAGCUAGCAGACGACGGCUGCCUGAAUAUAUGCGCCUGGCGUUUGCCGCCAUGUUGUGAAUGAUGCCGUGUGCUUCUGCGUACUUUGCGCGUUCCAGUUGGCAAAUAUUGUGCGCUCCACUUUCGCGUAUGUUAUAUCGGUUUGUGUGCCAUCAUACGAGCUUUUCAUGAGCCGCGAAAAUGCUGCAACUUUAGUCUUCACGUUUCUUUAAGAGACAAGCACAGCGAUCAGGCUAGCUCUAUGGUUGUGUCGGCGACGUGGCCUCCAAGACUGCACCAUUUCAGAGGCCACGCUAAUGAAUUAGCGGGUUGGUGGGGUUAGCUACGAGCAGACGACGGCCACUUACGGUCACGGUGCUUUCGAGCGAAACUUCUGACAGUCCCCGACAGCUGACUCACGUGACUGUGACGGGCCCUUCUGUCAGGGCUAGUGACAUAGGAGGCU